CGUUCGCCAGGGGAAUACGAGCAUCAGCUUAAAACCCAAAGGACUUGGCGGUGCUUUAGACCCACCUAGAGGAGCCUGUCCUAAAACCGAUAAUCCCCGUUAAACCUCACCCUCUUUUGUCCACAACCGCUUAUAUACCGCCGUCGUCAGCUCACCCUGUGAAGGAACAAUAGUCGGCACAAUCGGCUCAGCCCAGUACGUCAGGUCGAGGUGUAGCAAAUAGGAGGGGAUGAGAUGGGCUACAUUCUCUAAUUAAGAGUAUACGAAAAGCAUGUUGAAACACAUGCUGGAAGGAGGAUUUAGCAGUAAGUAGUAAAUAGAGUGUAUUACUGAAGCUGGCUCUAGAGCGCGCACACACCGCCCGU
rnacentral:rRNA from 1 species